rnacentral:rRNA from 1 species
CAGCACCUCAAGUGGUCAGGAUGAUUAUUGGGCCUAAAGCAUCCGUAGCCGGCGCUGUAAGUUUUCGGUUAAAUCCGUACGCUCAACGUACAGGCUGCCGGGAAUACUGCAGAGCUAGGGAGUGGGAGAGGUAGACGGUACUCGGUAGGAAGGGGUAAAAUCCUUUGAUCUACUGAUGACCACCUGUGGCGAAGGCGGUCUACCAGAACACGUCCGACGGUGAGGGAUGAAAGCUGGGGGAGCAAACCGGAUUAGAGACCCGAGUAGUCC